GGCUCUCAUGAGGACCGCCACAGGAAAGGAAGACCCAGAGCUACCGCUGCUGCAGAGGAUAAGUUCAUUAGAGUUACCAGCCUCAGAAAUUGCAGCCCAAAUAAAUGCUUCACAGAGUUCAAGUAACACAUGUCAACAUCAACUGUUCAGAGGAGACUAUGUGAAUCAGGCCUUCAUUGUCGAAUUGCUGCAAAGAAACCACUAAAAAGAAGAGAUUUGCUUGGGCCAAGAAACAUGCGCAAUGGACAUUAGACUGGUGGAAAUCUGUCCUUUGGUCUGAUGAUUUCCAAUUUGAGAUUUUUGGUUCCAACCGCUGUGUCUUUGUGAGACGCAGAGUAGGUGAAUGGAUGAGAUCUGCAUGUAUAGUUCCCAGCGUGAAGCAUGGAGGAGGUGGUGUGAUGGUUUGGGGGUGCUUUGCUGGUGACACUGUCAGUGAUUUACUUAAAACUCAAGGCACACUUAACCAGCAUGGCUACCACAGCAUUCUACAGCGAUACGCCAUCCCAUCUGGUUUGCGCUUGUUUUUCACCGUAGUUUGAUUUGUUGAACACUUUUUUUGGUUUCUACAUGAUUCCAUGUGUUAUUUCAUAGUUUGUAUGUCUUCACAAUGUAGAAAAUAGUAAAAAUAAAGAAAAACCCUUGAAUGAGUAGGUGUGUCCAAACUUUUGACUGGUACUGUAAAUUGUUUUUAUUAUAUGUAACAUUUUCUUCUUGUAAUAUUCCUCGUAAUUGAAUUAGUUGGUUGCCGGGAGUUAUUCCUGCUCAAAUCACAUAGUUAGGAUUAAAAACUCCUAGCCCCAUUUAAAACAGCCGACGUGUUUUUUUUACUCACCCAGUUGCCGCCAUCUUUAGUCGUUUGCACCUCCAUACAUUGGGACGGGUCUGACUUGAAACUAGAACAUUUACAGGUCUCUGGAAUCUUGCUAUCCCAGUCUCUGUAACUCAUUAUUCCACAACACUUACCCUGCAACAGCAAACACAGUUGUCAGUGAACACGAGGUAAGAAACAGUGAACACGAGGUGAGAAACAGUGAACACAAGGUGAGAAACAGUGAACACAAGAUGAACACGAGGUAAGAAAUAGUGAACACAAGGUGAGAAACAGUGAACACAAGGUGAGAAACAGUGAACACAAGGUGAGAAACAGUGAACACAAGGUGAGAAACAGUGAACACAAGGUGAGAAACAGUGAACACAAGGUGAGAAACAGUGAACACAAGAUGAACACGAGGUAAGAAAUAGUGAACACAAGGUGAGAAACAGUGAACACAAGGUGAGAAACAGUGAACACAAGAUGAGAAACAGUGAACACAAGGUGAGAAACAGUGAACACAAGGUGAGAAACAGUGAGAAAUUUACAUUGCUAGUCUUACAAAUUGAUCAUGACACAUUAAGACUUCUUUAUGAAUUGGGUUGCAAAAUUCUGGUAACUUUAAAAAAAUUCACAGGUUUUCCAGAAAUCCUGUCUGACAGAUUCCCAGAUUACGAAGGGAAUGAGCAUGAAAUCCAG
rnacentral:lncRNA from 1 species